CGAGUCUGCCUUGAAGAUCGGAGUGCUUGCACUCUGUGAAACAAGAUACAGGCUAGCGGCGGACGGGUGAGUAACACGUGAGUAACCUGCCCAAGAGAUCGGGAUAACACCUGGAAACAGAUGCUAAUACCGGAUAACAACAGAUGAUGCCUAUCAACUGUUUAAAAGAUGGUUCUGCUAUCACUCUUGGAUGGACCUGCGGUGCAUUAGCUAGUUGGUAGGGUAACGGCCUACCAAGGCGAUGAUGCAUAGCCGAGUUGAGAGACUGAUCGGCCACAUUGGGACUGAGACACGGCCCAAACUCCUACGGGAGGCAGCAGUAGGGAAUCUUCCACAAUGGACGCAAGUCUGAUGGAGCAACGCCGCGUGAGUGAAGAAGGGUUUCGGCUCGUAAAGCUCUGUUGUUGGUGAA
rnacentral:rRNA from 1 species